rnacentral:rRNA from 1 species
AUUGAACGCUGGCGGCAAGCCUAACACAUGCAAGUCGAACGAGUGGCGGACGGGUGAGUAAUGUCUGGGAACCUGCCUGAUGGAGGGGGAUAACUCCUGGAAACGGUAGCUAAUACCGCAUACCAUCGGAUGUGCCCAGAUGGGAUUAGCUAGUAGGUGGGGUAAAGGCUCACCUAGUCGACGAUCCCUAGCUGGUCUGAGCGGAUGACCAGCCACAUGGGAACUGAGACACGGGCCAGAUCCCUACGGGAGGCAGCAGUGGGGAAUAUUGCACAAGGGGCGCAAGCCGGAUGCAGCCAGGCCGCGUGUAUGAAGAAGGCCUUCGGGUUGUAAAGUACUUUGAGCGGGGAGGCGGUACCCGAAGAAGAAGCACCGGCUAACUCCGUGCCAGCAGCCGCGGUAAUAC